UCAUACCCGUUCCCAUUCCGAACACGGAAGUCAAGCCUCCCUUCGCCGAUGGUACCUGGCCCCCGGGCCCGGGAGAGUAGGGCGCCGCUGGAU
rnacentral:rRNA from 1 species